AAAACAGUCCUGAGAUUGUAUAUAGUUCUGUUCAAAUCUGUAAUCAAAAUGAGGCUGCGCAGUUAGACCAUCUAAGAAGAAAAUGUUGUGAAAAGUUCUGAAAAAAAGAGAAGACAAACAACAACAAAAACAUAGGGACAAGUGUUCAAGUUCACCCAAACAGCCGCAGAUCCGGAGAGAAAAGCAUCAGAGAGAAGUGCUGAGAAGAGAAAAAGUAAGUACAAGUUAGUACUUCUGACUAGGGU
ensembl:lncRNA